rnacentral:rRNA from 1 species
AUAAGCGGAGGAAAAGAAACUAACAAGGAUUCCCCUAGUAACUGCGAGUGAAGCGGGAAAAGCUCAAAUUUAAAAUCUGGCAGUCUUUUGGCUGUCCGAGUUGUAAUCUAGAGAAGUGUUAUCCGCGCUGGACCAUGUACAAGUCUCCUGGAAUGGAGCAUCAUAGAGGGUGAGAAUCCCGUCUUUGACAUGGACUUCCAGGGCUUUGUGAUGCGCUCUCAAAGAGUCGAGUUGUUUGGGAAUGCAGCUCAAAAUGGGUGGUAAAUUCCAUCUAAAGCUAAAUAUUGGCGAGAGACCGAUAGCGAACAAGUACCGUGAGGGAAAGAUGAAAAGAACUUUGGAAAGAGAGUUAAACAGUACGUGAAAUUGCUGAAAGGGAAACGCUUGAAGUCAGUCGCGUCGUCCAGGGAUCAACCUUGCUUUUGCUUGGUGCACUUCCUGGUUUGAUGGGUCAGCAUCAAUUUUGACUAUUGGAAAAAGGUUAAGGGAAUGUGGCAUCUUUGGAUGUGUUUAUAGCCCUUGGUCACAUACAAUGGUUGGGAUUGAGGAACUCAGCACGCCGCAAGGCCGGGUUUUAAACCACGUACGUGCUUAGGAUGCUGGCAAUAUGGCUUUAAUCGACCCGUCUUGAAACACGGACCAAGGAGUCUAACAUGCCUGCGAGUGUUUGGGUGAAAAACCCGAGCGCGUAAUGAAAGUGAAAAGUUGAGAUCCCUGUCGUGGGGAGCAUCGACGCCCGGACCAGACCUUUUGUGAC